rnacentral:lncRNA from 1 species
GUGGUGGUGACCUCCCUUCACAGCGGGGAGGAGGCGUCUUUUCUCUCCUCCUUUCCAAAGCCAGCCUCGGUGCUCCUUCGGCGGCAGGCCUCGAGCCGCAGAGCACGAGGUGCUUGAAAAUUUGGCGAAGUCGCCAUUUUGGCAGUUUACGUCACUCGGGCAAGGGAGGUAUCAAGUGGCAAGUUGCUGUCAGUUGGCAUUUUGCAGCUUGCCCACCAAAGUCUGGCGCCAAAGGUCACAAUCUUUGUAAAGUAUAGUUACUUAGUGAUAUAUAUUGCUAUGGUUAAGUGCUGUGAAUUGUAUUAUAUAUUGAAUUUGCCUUUAUUGUAAGUUUACUUGCAGGUAUAUUGCAUUUGCCUUUGUUGUAAAUUUACUUGCUAUUAAGAAUACAUAAUGUCUAUGCAAUUUCAAGAUGAUGCAGAUGGUAUACCUCCUUCUGAGGCUGAAAGUAGGAAUGAAAGGCCCCAAAGGAUAAAGCACCCUUCAGCCAAGAUGCUAGCCCAUCUAAUAGAUGAAAAGGAGCUCCUCCAUGUGAGGUUAGGUUCGGCAUGGGAGCGAAUUGUAACAUUAAUGGACAGAAUUGAGAGCUUGGGUAUUACAAGGGUGCCAUCCAUAUUACAGACAGACCUUGAAGAGACCUUCGGUAUUUGGAGGGGUUUGGUGUCUAAGAUAGUCCAGGUCCUCGAGCGCAUUAACGCCAAGGAUUCAGAGUUAGAAAUAGUGAGUGUCUUAGCUGACACUAAUGAGAAAGAAAAUAAGGUGAGGGCAAUUCUAGAUGCCUUGGAAUUUAGUUCUCCACCUGUUAAUCUAAGGUCUGAGCCAAAAGGAAAUCAGUCUUCCUUAUGCAGCCAUGAGACCAAUCUUUUAAAAUCACCUGCUGUGGCACUUAGUCUUAAGUCCAACCACUCUAGCCAGGUAUCUAAACUAAGGGAGCGUGCAUCGUCUAAACACAGCCACUCUAGCAAGUCUUCUGCUGCUGGGAGUGCCAUCUCUUCCCUAGCUGCCUUGCACAUUAAGGAGGCUGCACGUCUGGAGCUAAAGAGCAAGGUAGCGGGGGCGGAGGCUGAUGCUAAGGCAGCUGAUCUCACCCUUCCCUUUAAAGAAGAAGAGCAACGACUGCAAAUAGAACAGGCCCGUAGACAAAGCGAAAUGCAAAUAGAACAGGCCCGUAGACAAAGCGAAAUGCAAAUGGAACAGGCCCAAAGGCAAGGUGAAAUAGAAAUGCUUAGAAUAAGGAUGGAUGCUACUGCCAAAAAGGUAAGGGCUGAGACUUUGGCCAAGGCCCUAAUUGAGCCACUCACAGAAGAAAAUGUAAGUCAGUUGCCGAAGCAGGACCCUUCUUCCAAGGUGCUUGUGCAUCUUAAUAGCUUAAACAGCCAGUUUUCGGAUGAGGAACAGGAAGACUUCUCUCCUUACCCAGAGCAGGGCCCCAAAGUCACUUUUGAGUUUCCUGCAGAGCAGAGCGUCAUAGCGGGGAGCUCACCCUUGCCCGAGCUACCUGUGCCUCCUGCUAAAUCCCUAGGUCAGUCAAUCAGGGCCUCAAGGCCAAGUGCUAGUUGGCCCUUACAGACAGCUGCACAGGGAGCCACCGAUUCGUCAGUGGUCGAUGUCAUCCCUCCAAGAGGCCAAAGGUUGACGCAAGGUGCACGGUGGGAGUCCACUCCACAACAGCAAACUCCUCAAUUGUUCCCUUCGACGCCAGAGUCCCAGCUUGUCUCCAUCAUCAGAAGCCCCAGAAGAGAUCUUAAGGACAAGGGUGUCGAAAAGUUUUCGGACAAGCCUGAGGAAUUUCUUCUCUGGAAGGCCACCUUCCAGAGAGCAAUCAGAGACUUAAAGUUAUUGCCUGAGGAAGAACUGACUCUUCUGGCUGCAUGGUUGGGCCCAGCCUCAUCCUCACAAGUUAAGAAGAUCUACGCAGCCCACGUAGCCGAUCCCGACAAAGCCCUGGAAAAGGCCUGGGCCAGGUUGCAGCAGAGGUAUGGGGCCAGCACAGAGAUUGAAGCAUCUCUUAUGGACAAGCUCCAAAGGUUCCCAGCUUUGAAACUCAAAGACUUCAAACUCUUGUGGGACCUCAGCGAUCUCCUUACGGAAUUAGAGUCGGCCAAGGAGAAUCCAGAACUGCCCGGUUUGAAGUGCCUCGAUCAGCAUCUGUCCCAGCGGCAGAUUCUGGACAAACUUCCCUUUGCCCUGCAGGAAGACUGGGGGAAACAGGUUUUUAACUACAAGGAGGCCCAUUCUCAGGCGUACCCACCGUUUUCCCAUCUGGUCCAGUUCAUCACCAGAGCGGCCAGGGAAAGGAAUGAUCCACAGACGGGCCUGCCCACCUUAUAUCAAGGGAUCCAUACAGGGAAGGCGCCUGAAGUGGACAAGAAACCACCUAGAGAGGCCAAUAGACCUGUCAGCGUAAAGGCAGUCGAAACUCAACACAAGACUGACGAACCCAGGUCAGAGGUAAAAGAGUUGCUUUGCCCUAUUCACCAAAAGCCUCACAGCUUGGCCAACUGCAGGGAGUUUAGUAGGAAGACAUACAAAGAAAGGCAACAGCUAGUUCAAAAGCAGGGAAUCUGCUUUAGAUGCUGUGGAGCAACUCCGCACUUUGCAUCCAACUGCAAAGAAAACGUCAAGUGCGAGAAAUGCAACAGCGUCAAGCAUUGCACCGCAAUGCACAACUCCAAUGGUGUCUCCCACACCAAAGGGGACAUUUCACCAAAGGAAAGGACAGCAAGCGAAGAUACCGACAAGCCGGCUGCACCGCAGAUGCAGGUGGAAGUUUCAGCAGUCGCCUGCACUGAGCUGUGUUCCGAUUCGCACCAGUACAGGGUUUGUCAUCCUAUCUGCCUAGCGGAUGUAUAUCCAGCCAAGAGGCCUUGGCUUAAAAAGAGACUCUAUGUGGCUCUAGAUUCACAGAGCGACGCCUCCCUGGCUACUCCAGAGUUCUUCCGCAUGUUUGACCUUAAAGCCAAGAUGGUCGACUACACUAUGACUACGUGUGCAGGAAAAAAGAAGUUGCAGGGUCGCAUAGCAUCCGGCUUUGUUGUCUCCUCUUGUGACCAGAAGAGACUGUUCGAGUUACCAGACCUCAUUGAGUGUUCCUCUAUUCCCCGGAACAAAAGGCAGAUUGUCACCAGAGAAGUCGUGGAAGCCCAUCCUCACUUGCGAAAGCUGAAGAACGCCUUACCUGCUUUCCGUCCAGAUGUGGACAUUGCCCUUCUGCUUGGUGCGGACUGUCCGAACUUGUUCUAUGUGAACGACCAAGUUAAGGGACCUCCAGGGGCGCCCAUUGCUCAGCUGCUACCACUAGGCUGGACAGUUACAGGCCCAGUGUGCAUAAAUAGGAUGCACCCUCCAUCGUCGGUGGGCACUCGUCAAGCGCACGUGCUUCAAGGCAGUCGCCCCACACUAAUGCAUAGCUGUUUGAGUCAUAUCUCGGUCUAUUGUCAGGGGAUAACACCAGAGUAUUCUUCCAUCUUUGAAGUCUCCGAAAGGGAUGAAACUACAGCGCUUUCCAAAGAUGAACAGAGGUUUUUAGAGAUCAUGAACUCUCAAGUUUCCCGGAGUCCAGAGGGAAAUUGGAUAGCCCUUCUGCCUUUUAAAGCAGAAAAACCCACUUUGCCAAACAACAGGCAUGUGACAGAAAAAAGACUCUGGUCACUGAAGAAGAUAGGAUGGGAUCAAGAGCUGACCCCAUCGGUGAAAGCAGCUUGGGCAAAUUGGACUUCUCAAGCUGAAGGACUGGAAGCCAUCACAGUUCCCAGAUCAAAUAGAAUUAACAACAUUCUAUCUAGCUCCACACCUAGCCAGUGGCAUCAUGUUGCCACAAAUGACAACCCAGCCGACAUCGCUUCUAGAGGAGCAUCAGCUCAACGAGUUUUAAGAUCCAGUUGGUUGAUGGAUCCCCGAUGUUUAGCGGAUGUCUACUUCCCGUUGGUCUUUUCACCUUCGGAAAACAUAGAAUUACCAGAGUCUGUUCCAGAAAUAACAGCCUGCAAGACCACCACUGCAAUCAAGAUGGGCCAAAGAUCUUGCCUGGAACCACACCGUUUUGAAUGUUUUUCGGAGUGGCACAGUCUUCUUAGAGCAGUUGCUAGGCUUAUACAUCGUUUAGCUUGCAAAGAUAGUGAGCCUUUACAGGUCCAGGAUAUGAUAAAGGCUAAGAGCGUCAUAUUCAAGUCAGUACAGAGAUCUGCUUUCAAGCAGGAAAUAGCUAGGCUAGAGCAAGGGCUCAACAUCCCUAAUCAAAGUCUUCUAAAUGAGUUAAACCCAUUUCUAGACAAGGAGGGUAUUUUGAGAGUUGGAGGAAGGUUAGCCAAAGCUAAACUCAAGGCGUGCAUAAAAAACCCCAUCAUCAUACCCCCUAAUAGUCACACUGCAUUGCUGCUCGUUCGGCAUCACCAUGAAAGGAUCCAUCAUCAGGGUAGAACUCUAACUGAGGCAGCCCUUAGAAAUGAAGGUCUGUGGGUAGUUAAUGCCAAAAGGUUGGUCAACAGUUGUAUUUUCAAAUGUGUUAAAUGCAGGCGCCUUAGGCGAAACUGUCAAAGUCAGUUGAUGGCAGAACUACCUCAGGAUAGGACUUUGACAGACCCACCCUUUUCCCAUGUGGGAAUCGAUGUGUUUGGUCCUUGGGAGGUUGUCACUAGGAAAACCAGGGGUGGUGUUGUAAAUAACAAGAGGUGGGCAGUUUUGUUUACUUGUUUAGUAAUACGAGCUGUUCAUAUAGAAGUCAUAGAAGGGAUGGACACUUCAUCAUUUUUAAACGCAUUAAAAAGGUUCAUAGCCCUCAGAGGGCCAAUUAAGUCAAUUCGGUCGGACUGUGGCACCAAUUUUGUAGGUGCGACCAAAGAACUCAAUUGUGUGUCUAGGUUUGGGAGAGACCCAAAGGUUCAGAACUUUACGAAUACUGAACAAAUUAUGUGGACUUUCAAUGUUCCUCACGCCUCCCAUAUGGGUGGUGUUUGGGAGAGGAUGAUUGGUAUUAGUCGCAAAAUCCUUAAUGCCAUGUUUUUGAGUCAUAGGUCAUUGACGCAUGAUGUUUUGGUGACACUUAUGGCGGAAGUUACCGCAAUUAUCAACAACCGGCCGCUGGUUCCCCUUACCAGUGACCCUGAGAACUUACAACCACUGACUCCUGCACUUAUUUUGACACAAAAGGUGCCAGGAUGGAAGGACGUCAUGUUGCCAGUUCCGGACGGAACUCACCGUGCCCUGUGGAAACAGGUGCAGUCCUUGGCCAACCACUUUUGGAAAAGGUGGAAAGCUGAGUACUUAAGCCAGCUUCAAGCUAGAAGAAUCUGGCAAAGCCCACAGGACAACAUUGAGGUUAACAACGUUGUGUUGUUAAAGGACAAAGACUUGCCCCGCCAUGCAUGGCCCAUGGGCAUUGUAUUAAAGACCUUUCCUUGCCCGGACGGUAAGGUCAGGAAAGUUCAAUUAAAGACUUGCAACAGAGGCAAAGUGUCCAUUUUGGACAGACCAAUUAGUGACCUCGUGUUGCUUAUUGGAGAUGUUUAAAGUUCUAGUGUUUGUAUUGUCAUAUGUGCAAAGGUGUUUGUAUGUUUUUGAUUGGUAAAUUCCCACAUCCUGGGAAUUUAGCGGGGAGUGUUCCGUCCCCCAGGACGAUGGUUUGCCUUACCUAUUGGUCGUUUGUUUGUUUUCCCUCCUUUACAUUUUGUUUGAGCCUCUGGCUGCAAAAGCCUAGGAAAAAUGGCUUGGAAUCUGCAAGAGCUGGCUGCAGUUUUCUUUGCAGUGAUUGGUCAAAGAAUGCAACAUCUUAGGACCGCCCUUUUUACCAGGGUCUAGUCUCCAUUUUAGAGUUUCAUUCUGGCUAUAGUCUUCCAACGUGCUGGAGCUGUGCAAGGCUAACUGGGACAAAUCAUCCUCAAAACCAGGCCAAUCUAAGCCUAUCCAAAUUAGAUAAGUAUUGAAUUAUAUUGAUCUGGAAUAGGAAAUCUAGUUAUAGGAGCAGGGUUAUUCUGUCGCUUCUAGAACUAAUCUUUGCUGUAAAGAUAGGGAAGGAAAGAGUUUCUCCUUCUAAUAUAGGCAGCGUGAUUAGGGUAUAGUGGUUUUAUAAUCACCUUUGCUUUCUGGAACCAGGGAUAAUUCUGUACCUAAAACCUAUAGAAAUUUGUUUCAUUUUCUGCAACUUUAAGAUCUGUGCCAGGUUUACAACCUUGUAUGAAUAAACAUCCUUUUUUGAAGUUAUCCAGACUCAGUCGUUCAAUAUCUAUAGGACAGCUUAUAGGGAUUUGCAGUUCGCCCGGAUAAAGGACAGCACGUUUCAGUUUUAUAGUUUUUUAUUGUCCGGCGGACGGCACAAAUUUGAUUAAUUUGGUUGAUCCCUUAACCACAAAUCUGAAACCUGAAAUACUCCAAAAUCUGAAAUUGUCCAGAUGGGUGAUUGGGAUAGUGACACCUUAGCUUUCUGAUGGCUCAAUGUACAUAAACUGUGUUCCAUGUACAAAAUUAUUUACAAUAUUGUGUAUACAGAUAUCUUCAGGAUAUCUGUAGAAGGUGUGUAUGAAACAUAAAUGAAUUUUGUGUUUAGAGUGGGGUUCCAUCUCCAAAAUACCUUGUUAUGUAUAUGCAAAUGAUGCAAAAUCAAAACCCAAAACACUUUGGCCCUAAAUAUUUUGGAUAGGGGAUACUUAACUUCUAUUAACAUUUCUGUUAUUUUAAUGUGGGCCUUUCACAAUACACUAUACUCGCACUCUGGCUUCCAUUCUAGAAAGUACUUUAUGUGUUCCUGCUUGGCAGGGGAUUGGACUAGAUGGUUCUUGUGGUUUCUUCCAACUCUAUAAUUCUAUGAUUCCAUCCUAAGGAAUCUUGGAACAUGCAAUAUAGGGGUGAGGGACAUCUAGAAUUCUCAACAAGAGAGUUCUAAUGGCUUAUCAAACAACAAGCACCAGAUUUCCAUUGACUGUUGCCAUGGCAAUUAAAGUGGAGGAAUAGUAUUAUAACUUUGCAAUGUGAAAGGGCUUUGCUGUUUAAACUCUAAAUCUGGUCAGCACAUAGAAAGCACUAGAGGUACUUGCGAUUAAGACCAAUAGAACUUCGUGUGUGCUCUGAAUGGUUACUCCAGAAUGUUAAGAUUAAUUUUCUCCAUAUUUAACAGCUUAUCUUUGUAUACUUUUCUGUUUUUCCUAGAGUGAGGCAACAUAUGUGGCUCUUUUUCAUUGCUUGAUUCUUGCAGCCCCCGUGGGAAUGGUCAGGUUGAGCGAUGUUUCUUGAUCCAGAGUCUCUCAGGGAGUUUCAUGGCUCAGUGGAGACUAGAAACUGGCUAUACUAAGUUUUACUCUAACACUCUAACCAUGGUGCCACAUUAGCUCCACAGAUAACGAUGGGAACUAAGCUGUACAUGAUAAUAAGAAGUAGAGUUUGAGAUGUUUUUCUGUGCAUGUUUUAGGAGCACCACUGGCACUUUUAUUUGUCCCUGUGCACUAUUUACACCUUUUGCAGUGCAGUACAGUGCAUUGUUUUUUGUUUUGUUUUGGUAUGUUAUGGGUUUAUUACAUCCUCAAUGAAUUAAUGAUUAAUGGGCUAUUUGUUGUAUUGGGAUGACACAAAACAGGUAUUGUGGCGCUGAUAUAAUUUACUCCUACUGUGUAGCCUAUUGGCAAGUGUCAGUGGGAGUAUUAGAUAAAGUCAUAUCAUUUUAGAUUUACUGUUCCGUGUCUACUGUGGAGCUAUUUAUAUGACUCAGUGGUAUAGCCAGUUAAGUGCUGCCUUGGAAAAUGCUAACACGUUGAGUUGAUAAAACUAUGUGGUGAGCCUACAAGCAAUACAGUUAAACAGUAGUUACACUUUAUAAUUGAUUAUCAGCUUUCUGAUUACAGCAAAAACAGUUUGUAUUUUUGCAUCACAGUUUUAUAUUUAAAUAUAUUUAAAAUACAGUAGCAUCUCACUUAUCCAACAUAAACGGGCUGGCAGAAUGUUAGAUAAAUGAAUAUGUUGGAUAAUAAGGAGGGAUUAAGGAAAAGCCUAUUAAACAUCAAAUUAGGUUAUGAUUUUACAAAUUAAGCACCAAAACAUCAUGUUAUACAACAAAUUUGACAGAAAAAGUAGUUCAAUACACAGUAAUGCUAUGUAGUAAUUACUGUAUUUACAAAUUUAGCACCAAAAUAUCACGAUAUAUUGAAAACAUUGACUACAAAAAUGCAUUGGAUAAUCCAGAAUAUUGGAUAAGUGAGUGUUGGAUAAGUGAGACUCUACUGUAUUUAAAAGCCAUUGAAAACUGACGUGAAAUUUGUAAGCCAUUUUGAGACCCUUGGCAGGAGAAAAACAAGAGAUAAAUUUAAUAUUGAAAAUUAUUUUUCUGAGAAAGACUGGUAAAAUGACCCCACAGUCCCUGGGAGUAA